AAUCGACCUCGGAUCAGGCAGGGAUACCCGCUGAACUUAA
rnacentral:rRNA from 1 species